UACGGAGGGGGCUAGCGUUGUUCGGAAUUACUGGGCGUAAAGCGCACGUAGGCGGCUUUGUAAGUUAGAGGUGAAAGCCCAGGGGCUUAACCCUGGAAUUGCCUUUAAGACUGCAUCGCUAGAAUCGUGGAGAGGUGAGUGGAAUUCCGAGUGUAGAGGUGAAAUUCGUAGAUAAUUCGGAAGAACACCAGUGGCGAAGGCGACUCACUGGCCCGAUACUGACGCUGAUGGCGCGAAAAGCGUGGGGAGCAAAC
rnacentral:rRNA from 1 species